UCCAGACAGAUAUAUAGGACCAUGAC
rnacentral:piRNA from 1 species